rnacentral:lncRNA from 1 species
GUGGAUGGAGCUACUCGGGUUGCCUCUGCUGUCAUUAGGAUCUAAGGCACCCUGCUGAGGCCGCGUUAUUGUAGUAAAGGGACAGGCUGGUACGGACGCCCUGGCUGUCCUGGAACUCACUCUGUAGACCAGGCUAGGCUGGCCUAGAACUCAGAAAUCUGCCUGCCUCUGCCUCCCAACUGCUGGGAUUAAAGACGAGCGCCACCGCCCGGUUUGCCUAGCACAUUCUUGCUCCGUUAUUUGCGGAAGAAAGGGAUAUGCACACAAUCCCCGCGGUUAUCUAAGUAGAUUUGAGGCAGGAACGAAGAAAGAGGAACAGAGCUAAGGUGAGCUUCAGGAGGAAGGUACAAAGGUGACUUAGAUUUGGAUUACAUAUUGCUGUGAAAGAUAGGAAAGUGGCCAAUGUGCACUUUGGUGAUCCCGGAGAGAUGGAGAGAAGAGAUUAUCUCGGUCCAAGGAGCUGGGUGUGUCCUGUGGGACAGUCAGGAAGAGGAGCCUGCUUCUGAAGUCUGCUUUCCUGAGGUAUUCAUUUUUUGGGGUGGGGUUAGCAGAUCUAGACAGUUUGGUCUGGUACCCUUGUUGGAUUUAAGAUUAUUUAAUGUAUAGGAUAUUAGGGAUAAGCUGAUUUUCUUGCAUUGCUGUUGUGUCUGCUGUGGUCAGACAUGAGUGGUAAGUGGAUGCUAGCUGUUCUCUGGUGGAACGGAACAAAUAAACGAUGACCCUCACUUACAUCAUCCAGUCUGGGUUAUUCACACUAGAAAGGCUGAGAGCCAGUAGCUUUCUAAGAAACUACAUGUCCUUGUAGUCUUAAUCUGGUGCUGAAAUCAUGGCGGGUUCCUGGUCUUCAGCACUAGUUGGAAGGCUGAAGAAGCUGGGCCCUGAUGUCAGUGAAAGAUGGCAGCAAAAAGGUAGACGGACUAGUGAGAGAAAAGCCACAAAAGCAAAUCUCGCACUGCCUACAAAGACACUGGGAAGUGCUGGUCAGGUUCAGGUUGGGCCUUCACACUUAAUCACAAAGCUCCCUCACCGGUGUGCCCCGAGGUGCGUUAAUUCUGAAUCCAAUCAAGUUGACAACCAAGAUUAACCAUCUCAGUGGGUCAGAAGAGCAGUGGUCCAGGGACUUCAGCCGGUUCUUGUAGGGAAAGGGCCCUGUGAUGAUGUAGUAAUGCUCACACAGGGAGCAUGUACCAUUCUGUGAAGAUUAAUGGUGUCUGUGAUUAGAGAGGCUAAUAGAGUUUUUGGUCCAGAACAGCACGGACACCCUAGAAACCCUAGAAAUCUGGGGUCACCCCAGAUGGCUGGUGAGGACCGAAGAAGCUGGGCUAACAGCUUCUCCCCUGCUUUUCCCCUAAUGUUCAAAGUAAUUUAAUUUGGCAUGUAUGUAAGUAUGUAAUUUAAUUUGGCACAUGUGUAAGUUUUUUUUUUUAAGAUUUAUUUAUUAUUAUAUCUAAGUACACUGUAGCUGUCUUCAGAUGCACCAGAAGAGGGCAUCAGAUCUCAUUGUCUUUGGAAGAGCAGUCGGUGCUCUUAACCACUGAGCCAUCUCUCCAGCCCACGUAUGUAAGUUUUAACAUAAAUUAAAUCUAAAGCAUGAUUUAC